rfam:Stegodyphus mimosarum contig7954, whole genome shotgun sequence.
GCCUUCGUAGUGUAGUGGUCAACAUGCUCGGUGCGUAUUCGAGAGGUCCGUGGUUCGAGUCUCGGUGAGAGCA